rnacentral:rRNA from 1 species
UACGGAGGGUGCAAGCGUUGUCCGGAAUCACUGGGCGUAAAGGGCGCGUAGGCGGCUCAUGAAGGCUGUGGUGAAAGUCCGGGGCUCAACCUCGGAUCGGCCGUAGCGACUCGUGGGCUGGAGCACUGUAGAGGCGGGUGGAAUUCCGGGUGUAGCGGUGGAAUGCGUAGAGAUCCGGAAGAACACCAGUGGCGAAGGCGGCCCGCUGGGCAGUGGCUGACGCUGAGGCGCGACAGCGUGGGGAGCAAACAGG